rnacentral:rRNA from 1 species
AUUGAACGCUGGCGGCAGGCUUAACACAUGCAAGUCGAACGAGUGGCGGACGGGUGAGUAAUGCUUGGGAAUCUGGCUUAUAGAGGGGGAAAACUAAGAGAAACUGGAGAUAAUACCGCGUACCAUAGGAUGAGCCCAAGUGGGAUUAGGUAGUGGGUGAGGUAAAGGCGCACCAAGACGACGCUCUCUAGCUGGUCUUAGAGGAUGACCAGCCACACUGGGACUGAGACACGGCCCAGACUCCUACGGGAGGCAGCAGUGGGGAAUAUUGCGCAAUGGGGGCAACCUGACGCAGCCAUGCCGCGUGAAUGAAGAAGGCCUUCGGGUUGUAAAGUUCUUUCGGUAGCGAGGCGUUAACUACAGAAGAAGCACCGGCUAACUCCGUGCCAGCAGCCGCGGUAAUAC